GACAUCCUGCGAUGCGCGUUCGGUUUGAAACUUGUUUUGAACCAAUGGCUUGUUCGAAGGGAGUCCUACAUUGCCGCGCCGCUGGCACGCCCGUUCGGGAAGUCAAAAGCGCGGUUGCGGGCACCCACCUGCUUGGGAGCGGGUUUCGAAACAAGCGAACUGGACGGCAUAGGCGGGAUGUUG
rnacentral:other from 1 species